rnacentral:misc_RNA from 1 species
CUGCGAGUUCGCGGGAGAGUAAGUUAUUGCCAGGGUUUUUAUUUUAUACUUUAAACAUUGAUUUUAUUUUUUAUGUUUUUAGAUUUUCAUGUUUUUAGAUUUUCAUGUUUUUUAAUGUUUUAUUUAAAUAAUAUAAAAAAUAAAAUAUAUAUAUUGACAUGGAUUAAACAAAGAUAUAUAUUAUUCUAUGUUGCAUAAACAAAUUGGCAAAAUAGAGAUGGAAGAUAAAAAUAUGGACAAAG